rnacentral:rRNA from 1 species
CCUACGGGUGGCUGCAGUGGGGAAUAUUGCACAAUUGGGGCAACCCUGAUGCAGCGACGCCGCGUGAGUGAAGAAGUAAUUCGUUAUGUAAAGCUCUAUCAGCAGGGAGGAAAAUGACUGUACCUUAGUACGCAGCCCCGGCUAACUACGUGCCAGCAGCCGCGGUCAUACGUAGGGGGCAAGCGUUAUCCGGAUUUACUGUGUGUAAAGGGAGCGUAGACGGCAGUGCAAGUCUGGAGUGAAAGGCGGGGGCUCAACCCGCGGACUGCUCUGGAGACUGUACGGCUGGAGGGCAGGAGAGGUAAGUGGAAUUGCUAGUGUAGCGGUGAAAGGCGUAGAGAUUAGGAGGAACACCAGUGGCGAAGGCGGCUUACUGGACUGUAACUGACGUUGAGGCUCGAAAGCGUGGGGAGCAAACAGGAUUAGAUACCCCGGUAGUC